rnacentral:rRNA from 1 species
UACGUAGGGGGCAAGCGUUGUCCGGAAUUAUUGGGCGUAAAGAGCGUGUAGGCGGUCCGGUAAGUCAGCUGUGAAAGUCAAGGGCUCAACCCUUGAAAGCCGGUUGAUACUGUCGGGCUAGAGUCCGGAAGAGGCGAGUGGAAUUCCCGGUGUAGCGGUGAAAUGCGCAGAUAUCAGGAGGAACACCAAUGGCGAAGGCAGCUCGCUGGAACGGUACUGACGCUGAGGCGCGAAAGCGUGGGGAGCGAACAGG